AAUCAACGCUGGCGGCGUGCCUCAGACAUGCAAGUCGAACGCUGCUGUUCGCCUUCGGGUGGACAGCGGAGUGGCGCACGGGUGAGUAACACGUAGGUAAUCUACCUUUGGGUGGGAAUAACAGCCGGAACGGCUGCUAAUACCGCAUAAUGCAGCGGCAUCACAUGAUGACAGUUGUUAAAGCGAGGGAUCGUAAGACCUCGCGCCUGAAGAGGAGCCUGCGGCAGAUUAGGUAGUUGGUGAGGUAAUGGCUCACCAAGCCUGCGAUCUGUAACCGGCCUGAGAGGGCGGGUCGGUCACACUGACACUGACAUACGGGUCAGACUCCUACGGGAGGCAGCA
rnacentral:rRNA from 1 species